rnacentral:tRNA from 1 species
GGUCGCUCAGUGGUAGAGUGCUUGCCUGGCAUGCAUGAAGCCCUGGGUUCGAUUCCUCAGUACCA